rnacentral:rRNA from 1 species
CAGUAGCCGCGGGAACACGAGGGGGGCAAGUGUUGUUCGGAAUUAUUGGGCGUAAAGGGUGCGUAGGCGGCUGGACAAGUCUUGUGUGAAAUCUAUGGGCUCAACCCAUAGUCUGCACGGGAAACUGGGAGACUUGAGUGCAGAAGAGGAGAGCGGAAUUCCACGUGUAGCGGUGAAAUGCGUAGAGAUGUGGAGGAACACCAGUGGCGAAGGCGGCUCUCUGGACUGUAACUGACGCUGAGGCGCGAAAGCGUGGGGAGCAAACAGGAUUAGAUACCCCCGUAGUCCCUGUCUCUUAUAA